UAGCACAGUUGGUAGAGCAUGGUGCUUGCAACGCCAGGGUUGUGGGUUUGAUUCCUGC
rnacentral:tRNA from 1 species